rnacentral:pre_miRNA from 1 species
CAAGUACUCCCUCCGUCCGGAAUUACUUGUCAUCAAAAUGGAUGUGUCUAGAACUAAAAUACAUCUAGAUACAUCCAUUUCAGUGACAAGUAUUUUUGGACGGAGGGAGUACAAG